GCCAAAGGACCAAAAUCCGGCCCAGCCAGAUUUUGCCUUGUGGCGCCCGCCACAGCGUCUGUAAAAGGUCGGGGCAGAACCCCUUUCUUCACCAUUUUUGCAACUUACAACCUUCCAAACCCAUUUUUUCACCUUGGAAAAACAUCCUUGAACCCACAAAAAGCUCAUACUUUUCUAACCACCACACCGUACAAAUCAUUUUUCCGAUUUCCAUUU
rnacentral:lncRNA from 1 species